GAAAUAUUAAAAAAGUGAGUCUUAUUAAAAUGGAAUUAAAUGUUACACAGAUGACUUUUUCUUUUCAUUUCUAUUAUUUAAAUUCCUCCCUCCCCAACAUUGGCAUUCCAAUUGUUGAAGAGGUGUCCUCCAAUACCUAAAGGGUUUGACAAGGUUGGGGCAUUCCCAACACACACAUCAUUAAUCCAUCAUUGGCAUCUAAAUAACAGAGGGUAUUGCGUGUGCAGUGUAAUAGUAUUUGCUAUGAAAUGCAAAGUAUAAUCCUACACACAAGUCAUGAGCGUUUAUAAUUCUACACACAAAAUCUUCUGGCUGAAAUUCCUUAGGGCGUACUUUCUUAUCAAAUGUUCUAGCUAUUAUGCUUUGAUAUAAUUGUCCAUGACAAACUGCAAUAAGCAUUUUCUCAUCAGUCAAACUAAGCCAAUCGAGUCUUAUUUUAACCCAUUCAGUUUCAUCCGGUUGUAUUUCCAUCAAAAUCCGUAGAGAGGGAAUUUCUACUUCCAUUGGCAGAACUGCGGUGCCUCUAUCCCAUACAAUAAUGAAUAUGGAAUUGUCCCAAUUGAUGUCCUUAUUACAAUUCGGUAAGCAUGAAGAGCAAAAGGAAGCAUGCCGUGCUAAUCUUUGUAAGUGAUGGUCAUUUUUUUGAAUAUUAUUUUGAGAUUCUUAUUUGCAGCCUUGACAAUUCCAUUCAUUUGAGGCCAAUAGGGUGAUGAAUUGAGGUUACAGAUCUUGUAUUGUCACAUAAUUUCUUAACAUUUGAGUCAUUCAAAUUCUUAACAUUAUCAUUGAUAAUCUCACUAGGAAGGCCAUAUCUGCAGAUGAUGUUGUACUUGAAAAACUUUAUGACUACAUUAUGAGUGACAUGAGCAUAUGAAGCGGCCUCAACUCACUUGGUGAAAUAAUCGAUAGUUACCAAAAUGAAUAUGUGCCCACUAAAGGCUUUUGGAGUAAUUGGACUAAUGACGUUGAUGUCCCACAUUGCAAAUGGCCACAGAGCUACCAAAUUGCAAAGUUAAUGGGGAGGGCAUUUAUUCGGUCAACACAAAUUUGACACUUAUGACACUUUGUAAAGCAAUCAAUACAGUCCUUUUUCCAUGGUGAUCCAAUAAUAUCCUCAUCGCAAGAUUUGCCUAGC
rnacentral:misc_RNA from 1 species